CGCCGCCCGCGCACUCCUCGCUCGGCCCUGGACCGACACUUUGCAGCUGGGGACUGAUGCAUUGUGUCAAACACGCUGCCCGAAUGGAGUGGGCACCUGCUGAAUGCCGGGCUCUGGGCUGGUCUCUGGAUGCAGACGUUUUGAAAACCACCCAAGGCCGGACGCCCCAACAAGAGGCGGCGGCUCAGAUUUCCUUGAAGUAGCCUCCCUGACCAGCGUUUCUGGGAUGAGACACUGGAACUUGCUGCAUCUACGUCAGGAGUUAGCCACCUGUGAAGGGAAGAGAAAGUGUCCUCUCUGUGCCAUCACCACUGGCCAGGCGUCAGCAAUCAGCAUGAGCAUCUGAGCAUCCGCCUGCCUCGAGGUAGUUCGGCCUGGACAUCUGAAGCGCGUUAGCUGCCUGCUCCCAGGGGGCUGACCCUGCUUGUUGAGAAUUAUCCCAGGCAGAGCCACAGAGGAUGGAGCAAACAAAGACCAGCUGUUCCCUGAGGAAUAAGCCUUGACAGCAGAUCCUGGAAGGCAGCCUCAGACCGGAUUCUGGAAAGGCCUGGCUUCUCUUGAGGAACAGGGGGGCUUCCGCUCAAAAGAAGCUGUUUAAAUGCAGGAUAUGGUAGGAAAGUCUACUGGCCAGGAGUCUGGAGCCCACAGCCAGCCCCAUCUGGCCUGUGGAUUGACUGUGUGACUGUAGGCCAGUCCCUCCCCUCGCAGUGUCUUCUGCUGUGAAAUGAAGACUUGGACUUGACCCGGUGGUUUCCCCACAGCCUGUGUCAGCCUGGUGGCUUCUCUUGGGCAAGGACAAUGGCUUCUCCCCUUCAGUGGGCCGUGGAACUUAGAAUCAGAGGGUAGGGUGCAAGCUCCUGCAGACCGCUCCCUGCCUGGGCGACCCUGGGAAGGCGCCACACCACUCUGCACGCUGCCACCACGGGAAGACACAGGUAAGGGACUGGCCCGCUGAGUGUCCCAGGGCUGCCUGGGUCCCACGGGCGGUGGACCUUUCAGCCUCUGGAUGACAGAGCGGGGCAUUCUACAGGCUAUCACCUGCGGGUGCUCCCUGCCUGCCCAGUGCUUGGCGCCAUCCUGACUCGGGGUCGGGCCCAGGCUUGUUGAUGGAGCCACUGCCUGCCCAGGGGCUCCCCUAGCCCUGGCAAGUGUGCGGACACUGGGCCCAGCCCACCAUGUGAGGUGUCAGUAACGGUGCCCGGAGGGGAGGGCCUCAGGGCCUGUGACAUCACGACCAGCAAUUUCCAUGUUGGAGCUCACAGAGCUAAGGCCAUUUUGAAAAAUAGUACUGCUUUUCUU